CUUGAGCUCAAAAUUUGUAGAGAAUUGAAUGAUUCACUUGAGUUGAUUGUGGAGAAAAUUAAGAGAAAGUUGAGAGAAAAUGACUUUUUUGCCUAUUAAGAAAAUAAAAAGGUGCUAAAAUGAAUGAGCCAAGAUAGUUUUUUGCCCAAGAAAAGGUUUCCUUUACCAUAUUUCAUAUGAAAGAGGUUAAAAAAAAAAAUAGCCAAGAAUUCUUAGCUGAAAAA
rnacentral:misc_RNA from 1 species